rnacentral:rRNA from 1 species
GAUGAACGCUGGCGGCGUGCCUAAUACAUGCAAGUCGAGCGAACGGACGAGAAGCUUGCUUCUCUGAUGUUAGCGGCGGACGGGUGAGUAACACGUGGAUAACCUACCUAUAAGACUGGGAUAACUUCGGGAAACCGGAGCUAAUACCGGAUAAUAUUUUGAACCGCAUGGUUCAAAAGUGAAAGACGGUCUUGCUGUCACUUAUAGAUGGAUCCGCGCUGCAUUAGCUAGUUGGUAAGGUAACGGCUUACCAAGGCAACGAUGCAUAGCCGACCUGAGAGGAUGAUCGGCCACACUGGAACUGAGACACGGUCCAGACUCCUACGGGAGGCAGCAGUAGGGAAUCUUCCGCAAUGGGCGAAAGCCUGACGGAGCAACGCCGCGUGAGUGAUGAAGGCCUUCGGAUCGUAAAACUCUGUUAUUAGGGAAGAACAUAUGUGUAAGUAACUGUGCACAUCUUGACGGUACCUAAUCAGAAAGCCACGGCUAACUACGUG